AUACGGCACGUGGUGUUAUG
rnacentral:miRNA from 1 species